GCAAGCGUUAAUCGGAAUUACUGGGCGUAAAGCGCGCGUAGGUGGUUCGUUAAGUCAGAUGUGAAAUCCCCGGAGCUCAACCGGGAACUGCAUUCGAAACUGACGAGCUAGAGUAUGGUAGAGGGUGGUAGAAUUUCAUGUGUAGCGGUGAAAUGCGUAGAUAUAGGAAGGAACACCAGUGGCGAAGGCGACCCCCUGGACAGAUACUGACACUGAGGUGCGAAAGCGUGGGGAGCAA
rnacentral:rRNA from 1 species